GCCCAAGACAAGUUCAUAAGAUUUUGUAUGAUGCUAAAACGAAAAAUAACUUAGACCAUCAAUAGAGGGGAAGCUAACUUUGACUACAUCAGAUUCUAAGUAUUAUGCAACAGAGAAUGCUUCUAGUCACAAUGGAAAGAGGGAAAAUAUUUAAAGUUUCUAAAUUUAACCAAUGUAGAAAAAAACAAGAUAGGUUAGGAUUUUACAAUAGACAACUAUCAAAUGAAAAUAUGCAUGCUAUUAUGGAGACUUAGACGAACGACGACUUAUUAACACAAUGGACAUAUUCGACUUGACAAAAAUUCCAGCACUACAAGAUCCUAACAGACAAGUUCAAAGCCAAAUGGAUUCAUUUAGAUAGGACUACAAUCUUCAAGAAGUAAUCUGUACAACUCGUGUUAAG
rnacentral:misc_RNA from 1 species